rnacentral:lncRNA from 1 species
GGGUGGAGCCUCAAGCUUAUGCCUCCAGAGGCCAAUGUCUGCCUCACGUCACAGAACUCCUAGUUCAGAAUGCUUCCUUCAUCUGCAGUUGCUUGCAGCUUAUAUCAAAGUUCAGCAAAUUAUCAAUGUCAUACUUCCACGUGUAACAAAGCUCUCCUGGAAGAAGAUAAGAAGCAGACCCUGGUUCCCUGGGAAUUAUAGUUGUAAGAGAAAACAGCAUUAGAUCACACCACUCUGCUUUGCUUUUAUUUUUUUCUUCUUCUUUGUUAAAAAGUUAACAUAUUAAGCAAUGGGAUUUUUCAGAAACAUGAUCAAUAGCUCGCAAAACGGAUUUGUAACCUAUUUCUACUUUUUGAAAUAUUUCACAAAUCAGGACUUGAAAAACUAACUCCAAAGUUCAUAAAUUGCUUUUGGGAGUAUAAAAUGGUUCAACCACUUUGGAAAAUGGUUUAGCAAUUUCUUAUAAAGUUAAAUAUACACUUACUCUAUGACUCAGCAAUUCUACUGCUAGAGAAAAGAAAACCACACAAAGGCUUGUAUAAGAAUGUUUAUAUCAGUUUUAUUUAUAGUUUCAAAACUUGGAAAUGACCACAUGCCCAUCAACUGGUGAAAGCAUAAACAAAAUGUGGUCUACCCAAACAACUGAAUUCUACUCAGCAAUAAAAAGAAGCCAACCACUGAUACAACAACAUGGAUAAAUCCCAAAAACAUUAUGCUGAGUGAAAGAAGCCAGACUCGAAAGAGGACACGAUUCCAUUUAUAUGGCAUUCUAGAAUAGGCAAAACUAGUACAUGAUAACAGAAAGCAGAUCAGUGGUUGCCUGGGGCUGGGCAUGGAGGACGGUUUAGCUAGGGAGGGGCUCAAAGGAACGUUACAGGGUGAUGGAAAUGUUCUUCAUCUUGUUUAGGGCAGUGGUUUCAGGGGGUGUAUACAUUUGUUAAAACUCAUCUAAUUUUACACUUAAACUGGAAGCUUUUUUUUGGAGAGGAAGAGUGACCCUAAGCUAACACCUGUUGUCAAUCUUCCUCCUUUUACUUGAGGAAGAGUGGCCCUGAGCUAACAUCUGUGCCCAGCUUCCUCUAUUCUGUAUGUGGGUUGCUGCCACAGCAUGGCUGGUGACUGGUGUAGGUCUGCACCCAGGAUUCAAACCCACAAACCUGGGCCACUGAAGCAGAGUAUGCUGAUCUUAACCACUAUGCCACUGGGCUGCCCCCUAAACUGGAUGCAUUUUAUUGCAGGUAAAUUAUAUAUCAAUAAAAUUAAUUUUAAAAGGAAAAAACAAAAGCAAGCCCCCUACCAAAGCAGACAAAACAGAAAACUAACACCAAUAGCCAAAAUUAAGGAAAACCACUUUAAUAUUUUUUUAAAAUAGUCUUGAGUGAUGCACUUGUGACCCUGAAGUUUCC